rnacentral:rRNA from 1 species
UACCAGCACCCCCGAGUGGUCGGGACGAUUAUUGGGCCUAAAGCAUCCGUAGCCGGUCUUGCAAGUCUUCCGUUAAAUCCAGCUGCUUAACAGAUGGGCUGCGGAAGAUACUACAAGACUAGGAGGUGGGAGAGGCAAGCGGUACUCAGUGGGUAGGGGUAAAAUCCUCUGAUCCAUUGAAGACCACCAGUGGCGAAGGCGGCUUGCCAGAACGCGCUCGACGGUGAGGGAUGAAAGCUGGGGGAGCAAACCGG